rnacentral:rRNA from 1 species
AUUGAACGCUCGCGGGAUGCUUUACACAUGCAAGUCGAACGGCAGCACGAAAAGAGCUUGCUCUUUUUGGUGGCGAGUGGCGAACGGGUGAGUAAUGUAUCGGAACGUACCCAGUAGCGGGGGAUAACUACGCGAAAGCGUGGCUAAUACCGCAUACGCCCUACGGGGGAAAGGGGGGGAUCGCAAGACCUCUCACUAUUGGAGCGGCCGAUAUCGGAUUAGCUAGUUGGUGGGGUAAAGGCUCACCAAGGCAACGAUCCGUAGCUGGUUUGAGAGGACGACCAGCCACACUGGGACUGAGACACGGCCCAGACUCCUACGGGAGGCAGCAGUGGGGAAUUUUGGACAAUGGGGGAAACCCUGAUCCAGCCAUCCCGCGUGUGCGAUGAAGGCCUUCGGGUUGUAAAGCACUUUUGGCAGGGAAGAAACGGCGCUGACUAAUACUUGGCGCAACUGACGGUACCUGCAGAAUAAGCACCGGCUAACUACGUG